GACGAACGCUGGCGGCGUGCUUAACACAUGCAAGUCGCACGGAGUGGCGAACGGGUGAGUAACACGUGGGUGAUCUGCCUUGCACUUCGGUAUAAGCUUGGGAAACUGGGUCUAAUACCGGAUAGUGCAAGAUGAGCUCGCGGCCUAUCCGCUUGUUUGUGGGGUAUUGGCCUACCACGGCGUCUCCGGGUAGCCGGCCUGAGAGGUUGUACUGCCACAUUGGUACUGAGAUGCGGCCCAUACUCCUACGGUAGGCAGCAGUGGGGAAUAUUGCACAAUGGGCGGAAGCCUGAUUCAGCGACGCCGCGUGGGGGAUGAAGGCCUUCUGGUUGUAAACUCCUUUCGACAGGGACGCGGUACCUGUAUAAGAAGCACCGGCUAACUACGUGCCAGCCGCCGCGGUAAUAC
rnacentral:rRNA from 1 species